UCUCAGGUGACACAGCUGUAAAAUGCUCAGCCUGAUUUCUCCCUUAAAGACUGUUAAAAGGAAUUAAAUGAGACAAUGUGUGGCUCAACACAAUGCCCAAUCAUUUAAAGGCACCCAAAGUAGCCAUUAUGAGAACAGUUACCAUGGCUCUACUAAACUUACUAAAUCUAUAGUCUGUGCCUUCUGGGGCUACACAUAAAUAGCGAAUCGCCUUCUACAGCCUGGGAGUGAAGAAAUCCCACUCGGUACAUAUUAGUAAGUUAAAUGACAAGACGACAGUCAUUGGAGUCAGCAAACCUAAAGAGAAAACCAGAUGGUGAGGGACAGGACAGGGACAAGUGGAACAAGGAUAAACUUCAAGAUAAAGCUAAUGGAGUCUUCCUCUGUCACCCAGGCUGGAGUGCAGCCGCACGAUCUCCGCUUACUGCAAGCUCCGCCUCCCGGGUUCACGCCAUUCUCCUGCCUCAGCCUCCCGAGUAGAUGGGACUACAGGUGCCUGCCACCGCGCCCGGCUAAUUUUUUUAUUUUUAGUAGAGACGUGGUUUCACCGUGGUCUCGAUCUCCUGACCUCGUGAUCCGCCCGCUUCUGCCUCCCAAAGUGCUGGGAUUACAGGCGUAAGC